rnacentral:ribozyme from 1 species
CUAUACCGUAACGUAGCCCACCGGAUAGCAUCCGAAGCUCCUCAGAUAAAUGAUAUAGGCUCUUUUAUCCAACUCCUAUCCGGACACGUCCCAGUUCUUGCAUGAGUGGUAACACCGGUUAUCACAUAUCUAAGCUUAGAUACACGGACCUAUUUCAUCCUCUCGAGCGGAUGGUGACACAAGGCGAAUCUGGAGGGG